GGAUAUUAGGAAGAAAUUCUUUUCUGUUAGGGUGGUGAGACCCUGGAGCAGGUUUUCCAGAGGAGCUGUCUAUCCCAUCCUUGAAAGUGUCCAGGGCCAGGUUGGAUGGAGCUUUGAGCAACGUCCUGGGGAAAGUGUCUUCCCACAUCUAGGGGUUUGGAAAGAAAUGACUUUUAAGGUCCCUUCCAACCCAAACCAUUCUGUGAUUCUAUGACUUAAAACUCUAUUUGCUCCUAAAGCUGACUCUUUUCAGACACAUUGCUGUGUCUUGAUAUUUGAGUAUUGUUUGGAUUCUUGGGAACUGCCUUCAGCUGCAGGGGUUCUGUGCUUAGGCAACAGAUGUAGAAGGGGAAAAUAGACUUUGCCACAAAAUGACCUUUUUCACUCAGUGGUUUGCAGAAAUAGUUUAAAGGGAAGAACAUUAUUCUGUGGUAAAGUGUGGUUUCUUAUGUGAAAUCACGUGGAGGUGACAGAGACUGGUUCCACUUGGUGUCAGUAGAGGUGGAGUUAAAUUUGAGGAAGGAAGUGAAGGUUUCAGUCCUCCAUUACCUUACAUCUUGGAGUGUUGAGAGGUGAGAUAAUUCUUCCCUGUUUAAUUUGGUAAUAAGUAGGGAAGGGAGCAAAAGAGCAGAGGUAACAACUAUGCACUGAGUAGAAGUUUCUUCAGAGUGGCUGCUGGAACCUGCAAGAGCCAUUCCUGCUGUAAGGGAAUCUCAGUGGAGAGGGGCAGUAUGAGCAAAAACUGUAGAAGCCUGAUCUCUUUCCUCAGAGGAUAUUAAUUUAAUGUAUUUCCAGCCUGGAUAUGUGCUUUCAGUUUGUUCUACAUUCAAGUUUAAGUGUAAAAACACCACUUUGGUUUCUAGGAAGAGUGGUACAAAUGGAAGACCAUUGCAAAACUGUUCUUGUCAAGUAUAGUUUCUGACUGCACCUAAAUCCACAUAAAACCAGUCACUCUGCUUGUAUCCCAGUCACCAAGGGUUUGCUUUUUGCUUGAAUGACACACAGUUGUCCUCUGCACAGAGGCAGCAUGUUACAAUAGUGCUGGAAAGCUUCCAAAGCUGCAACUGAUAAUUAAAGUCACACCCUGUCAUGAAAAUAUGCACCCUCCAGACCUGCUUAAAAUUCAGGCUACAAAAAUGACAUCCAGUGUGACCACCUCUGUAUUUGCCAUUUUGUUAAAAAUAUUUGUUGUUCUUUUCUGGUUGGCCUUUAGGAAGCUCUCUUGAAAAGGAGGCAGUAGGGUUUUGGGUUUGGUUUUGUUUUCUGUUUGAGGAGUGGUAUGAAAAAGAAUAAGAAUGCAUAUUUAAUUUCUGGUCUGAUGCUGGUGUUUUGGUAUCCUCAAAAGAUGCUCUGAUCCUGACAAGAUUCAUGUGGUGCAGAUAAAUACAUCAUUUUAUUUAGCUGUGAAACACAUGGUGGUGCUCAAUCCUAAUGCUACUAAAUGCAAAGUGGCAAAGUAAUUUGACUAGCAUCAUAUAAUUACAAUUCCAAGUCCAAACAGCACAAUCUUUAUACUGAGGAAAGUGUUCCAUGGUGGGACUCUCUGGGUUUGCACUGUGGUAAAUUAGCAGGACAAGGAGGAAGGAAAAGCAGUGGGAAAAUUUGAAAGCAAAUGCACGUUCCCUUUCACCUUGAUGUGCACUGCUGCAUCCUGGGAUGCUCCAGGGUGAAAUAAAAGAAGUGGCUGCAUGUCAAAUUGAUGCCUGCUGGCUCCCUUCCCGUGCCUCAUGUUCACAUCACGCAUUUCUGAUCCUUUUGUGCAAUAUGCUCCUGUGCAUAAGUACUGAAGCCCAGGAGCUCAUCUCCUAAAUUGCUGUUCAUGCUGUAUAUAAGAGCAAAAUUCCCACUAGCAGCUCUAGUGAGAUGCUGGGUAAGAGUCCUUUGAAAUCAUCGUUUAAAGCUGGAAACUGGGAACCUCAAAAGGUUGCUUUGAGAAUUAAGAGAGAUUAGAUCACAUCUCUGUGACAGAAGGAGUUGGAAAGCAAAUGGUGAUGAUAUUGCAGGGCUGAGAGGUGCUAAAUAUUUGUUUAUUCAGUGACUUUAAUGGAGGAGAGUCAGUGCAGAUGUUAAUGUGCUGCAGACUAUGAAAGGGCCAACAGCACAGAUUUCAAGAUCUUAAACAUUUUGAUUGUUUUGGGUUUUUUUGUUGAUGUUGUUUUUUUUUCAGAAAACUCACUUGAAUAUGCACCAGCCUUUCUACCCCACUUCUAAUCUGAGCCCAUGUUUGGAAAAAAUCUAGAGCAGAGCCCAUAUUCUCCACUAAGAAUAGAAUAAUUCUUAAAAUACAUUUUGGUACCAGUUUAUUUUACUCUGUUUUAUGCUUUUAGCUUUCCCGUAAUGCCUCUUUUUAUGAUUUCCUAUGAUACUUCAUUGCUUUUUCCCAGUUCCCUUUCUCUGGUUUAUAAUUUGUCCUAAGCAGGUGGUAAAGGCAGUGAUGUUUGAGAAUGUCAAGCUCUGUGAAUCCGAUACCAUCCAAGUGUUCGCAGCCCUCCUGCCCCGCUCAUCACCAGUGACUGCAGCAGAGCAGCCAGCGGGGUGUGCUGGCCACUGCCAUCCCUGUGCCCCAGAAAUGCAGCAUUUGAGUGCUCCCUGUGAUUCUGAGUCACCGUGACUCCGGGCACAUCUCCGAGCACCGCAUUCCCAGAGUUCAGUAAUGCUUCAGGAGCUGCCAGCUCAGUUGGAGACUCGGAAAUGUCUCCAGUUUGAAGUGAAGCACAUUUUCAGGUUAUCACUAAUGCAGUCUCUGUCUCAGCUGCUUUAUCAGGAAAGGGGGAGUUUGAAUAUUAUUUGUGUACUUUCCUUACAGGAGUUUUUUCAGGAUUAUUUAGUGAAUGUUGGCACUGUGAGAUGCUUUAAAUACCAGAGGCUUGUUCCCAUGUACCAUAUGAUUUUCCACCUCCUGAAUGCAACUGUUAUUCUUCUGCCACUAUUCAGCCCAAUGAUUUUUAUUUUAUUUACUUCGAUUCUUUGUAUUCUAGAUGAUGCCCCACUGGCAAGGGAUCUUGGGAAAGAACUGUGAUGCUUUUGUUCACUGAACAAAACCUGAUUCAUCCCUUUCCUUACAUCACCACACAGCUCUCCAGCUUCCCAACACAGAGAUUGCUCUGGCUUUCCUUUAGGGAAUGGAAUAAAAUUGCAAGAAGGGAACACAAAAGUGUUGGGAGCUGGCUGCCACCAGUAUUAUACGUGAGGUACCAAAUUAGGUUUCACAGGCAAUCUUAAUUUUUGCCUCAGUUAACUUUUUGUCCAGUAGCCUACCCAUUAAGACAUUCCUUUACUUUUGCAUAUGUAUGUAUGAAUAUUUUUUGAAACAAUGGUUUAUAAAAAGCUUCAAAUAAAACUGCCCAUGUUAUUGUCCACCUUA